UGGGGAAUUUUGGACAAUGGGCGCAAGCCUGAUCCAGCCAUGCCGCGUGCGGGAAGAAGGCCUUCGGGUUGUAAACCGCUCUUGUCAGGGAAGAAAUCUUCUGAGUUAAUACCUCGGGAGGAUGACGGUACCUGAAGAAUAAGCACCGGCUAACUACGUGCCAGCAGCCGCGGUAAUACGUAGGGUGCAAGCGUUAAUCGGAAUUACUGGGCGUAAAGCGUGCGCAGGCGGUUUUGUAAGACAGAGGUGAAAUCCCCGGGCUCAACCUGGGAACUGCCUUUGUGACUGCAAGGCUUGAGUGCGGCAGAGGGGGGAUGGAAUUCCGCGUGUAGCAGUGAAAUGCGUAGAUAUGCGGAGGAACACCGAUGGCGAAGGCAAUCCCCUGGGCCUGCACUGACGCUCAUGCACGAAAGCGUGGGGAGCAAACAGGAUUAGAUACCCUGGUAGUCCACGCCCUAAACGAUGUCAACUGGUUGUUGGGAAGGUUCCUUCUCAGUAACGUAGCUAACGC
rnacentral:rRNA from 1 species